rfam:Lactobacillus mixtipabuli DNA, scaffold: sequence04, strain: IWT30.
UUAAAUCGAAGAGGUUGCAACCGACAUUAGUCAGUUCACUCAGUCACUGUUAUGACUAAGAGGUGAACCAAAAGGGGACGUUGCCGAAGCGCUGACUAUAACAGUAGCCAGUUUGCUGGGACAUGAUUCAAUAAAUCAUGGACUGUCGCAGAUAUAACGUCUGCGGAGCGCUAUCGAAAAUG